CACCGAACGCGUCAGAGAGAACGAAUGGAUAAUAACUUUUAAAAGGCAGUUGUUACCACAUUUGAAGCGAAGUUGAUUGAAGAGGCUGCCACGCUGCUCUCUGAAAUCCAACAUGUCUGAUCCAAUUCCUGUCCAAUUCGUUGCUUACACAUUUGGCAUCCUCGCUAUUCUUCUCAACGGAGUUCUCCUAGUUGCCAUGGUAUGCGACAGAAAGAAGAUGUUUGUCUCCAGGGCUUCCUAUCUCAUUGCAAAUCUGGCUUUUGCUGAUUGUCUCAAUGGUGUUUUUCUCAUAGUUCUGCUGCCGCCUAUUUCAGAUAUUCGUUAUGUAACCGAAACGUUGAAAGCUAUAACACUUCCUAUGGUUUGGACUGUUUAUUGUGCCUCAUAUGCAAUAUUGUUUCUCAUGGCGGCGGAAAGAAUUGCCAUUCUCCUUCUUCCACUCGUCAGUUCUAAGUUGCUGACCAUUCGUCGAACAGUUUUUGGAAUUUUUUUGGCCUGGUUGAUCUCGAUCGCCGGUGGUUUCGCAGUUCAUUACGAUCAUAUCUACGCGAGGUUUUAUAUUCUUCUUUUCAUUGAAAUAUGCACAAUCGGCUUCAUCGCCAGCCACUUGUUUAUUUUAUGGGCAUUGCACAAAAGGGAGAAACGUUGCGUUGAUGAAUAUUCGUCACAGGUCUCUCCUCCUCCCCAAGUACCAUGCAGUAAAAGGAUCGCGCAAAGAAAAGCAACGAUGGUCGUUACCACUCUUCUAGUCGUGUUGAUUUUCUCGUGUUUGCCCUACUUUAU